CGCAGCCUUGUCAAAUUCAGUGCGUCCUCCUCAGUGGAUGCCACUGGCCAAAACGGCUGCCACAGUGAAGGUGUAGUUCAUAAACGGCUGCCACAGUGAAGGUGUAGUUCAUGGGCCCCACGGUGCUCCCAACAUGGCCCCUGGGGAUAAAUAUGUACUACACACAAAC
ensembl:snoRNA